rnacentral:rRNA from 1 species
UCGGCUACAUGAAGCUGGAAUCGCUAGUAAUCGCGAAUCAGAAUGUCGCGGUGAAUACGUUCCCGGGUCUUGUACACACCGCCCGUCACACCAUGGGAGUCAGUAACGCCCGAAGUCAGUGACCCAACCAUAAAGGAGGGAGCUGCCGAAGGUGGGACCGAUAACUGGGGUGAAGUCGUAACAAGGUACC